GGGCGUAAAGAGCUCGUAGGCGGUCUGUCGCGUCUGCUGUGAAAACUGGAGGCUCAACCUCCAGCCUACAGUGGGUACGGGCAAACUAGAGUGCGGUAGGGGAGAUUGGAAUUCCUGGUGUAGCGGUGGAAUGCGCAGAUAUCAGGAGGAACACCGAUGGCGAAGGCAGAUCUCUGGGCCGUAACUGACGCUGAGGAGCGAAAGCGUGGGGAGCGAACAGGAUUAGAUACCCUGGUAGUCCACGCCGUAAACGUUGGGAACUAGAUGUGGGGUCCAUUCCACGGAUUCCGUGUCGCAGCUAACGCAUUAAGUUCCCCGCCUGGGGAGUACGGCCGCAAGGCUAAAACUCAAAGGAAUUGACGGGGGCCCGCACAAGCGGCGGAGCAUGCGGAUUAAUUCGAUGCAACGCGAAGAACCUUACCAAGGCUUGACAUAUACCUGAAAAGGCUGGAAACAGUCUCCCCGCAAGGCAGGUAUACAGGUGGUGCAUGGUUGUCGUCAGCUCGUGUCGUGAGAUGUUGGGUUAAGUCCCGCAACGAGCGCAACCCUCGUUCUAUGUUGCCAGCACGUUAUGGUGGGAACUCAUAGGAGACUGCCGGGGUCAACUCGGAGGAAGGUAAU
rnacentral:rRNA from 1 species